rnacentral:rRNA from 1 species
CUCCGCUGACGACCGGCGCACGGGUGCGUAACGCGUAUACAAUCUGCCUUGCACUAAGGGAUAGCCCAGAGAAAUUUGGAUUAAUACCUUAUAGUUUAUUAGAAUGGCAUCAUUUUAAUAAUAAAGAUUACGGUGUAAGAUGAGUAUGCGUCCCAUUAGUUUGUUGGUAAGGUAACGGCUUACCAAGACUACGAUGGGUAGGGGCCCUGAGAGGGGGAUCCCCCACACUGGUACUGAGACACGGACCAGACUCCUACGGGAGGCAGCAGUGAGGAAUAUUGGACAAUGGGCGAGAGCCUGAUCCAGCCAUGCCGCGUGCAGGAAGACGGUCCUAUGGAUUGUAAACUGCUUUUAUACAGGAAGAAUAAGGACUACGUGUAGUCUGGUGACGGUACUGUAAGAAUAAGGACCGGCUAACUCCGUGCCAGCAGCCGCGGUAAUACGGAGGGUCCGAGCGUUAUCCGGAAUUAUUGGGUUUAAAGGGUCCGUAGGCGGGCUAUUAAGUCAGGGGUGAAAGUUUGCAGCUCAACUGUAGAAUUGCCUUUGAUACUGAUAGUCUUGAAUUAUUGUGAAGUGGUUAGAAUAUGUAGUGUAGCGGU